GCCCAUCCGCUGGGCUCGGUCGGCCGGUGUCCCCGGUCGACCCGUUCCUCCCCCCGCCGUCAAGGGUUCACCGACCCGGGCAUUUUCUCUCGGCGCCGGGCGGGGCGGCGGAUAGUGAGGGCGAGAGCGUGUGUGCGUGUGUGCCGGAGGGAAGGCGCCAUCCCGAGCCGGCUGCCCCGCCGCGGCAGCCGCGACCCCGCCCGGGCCGGUGGGCUCCCCCGCCCCCGCCCCUCGCAGCGCGGCCGGGCUCCCCACCCCUCCGCGCCCCCGCGGAGUUGACCGUGACCCUCGCCCCGCUCUGCUGGUGCCCGGCCCCUCUCUCUCCACUCAGCCUUCACCCACCCGGGAAGUUUCCUCCCUCCAGGCCGGACUGUCCCAGGAUCCAGGAUGAAGGAGCACCCCCUAUUUAUGACAUACUGUUCUCUUGGCAGAGAGAAAAGAGCAAGAGCUGGUGGAAACUCACAAAGCUCUUAAAACUUCUACUUGGAACUGGAACUUUCUCAUAUUUCAUUGGCCAAAGUGAGAUGAUAAGUCUGUUCAUCAGAUGACCACGGAACCCUUUGAACUGUGGUAUGAAUUGAAUGGCACUCCCUGACUACAGGCAUUUCACAUCUGCUGAUAGUAUCAUCUUUUUGUACAUCCAUUGGUGUAUUCAUUUUAUUAUUUUACUAGAGGCCCGGUGCACGAAAUUCAUGCACAAGGCGGGUGUCCUUCAGCCUGGCCUGCACCCUCUCCAAUUUGGGACCCCUCGGACAUCCCUCUCACAAUCCGGGUCCGCUGGCUCCUAACCGCUCACCUGCCUGCCUGCCUUAUUGCCCCUAACUGCUUCUGUCUGCCAGCCUGAUUGCCGCCAAACCGCUCCCCUGCCAGCCUGAUUGAUGCCUAACUGCUCCCCUGAUGGCCUGAUUGUUCCCAACUGCCCUCCCCUGCUGGCCCGAUUGCCCCCAACUGCCCUCCCCUGCCAGCCUGGUCAUCCCCAACUACCCUUCCCUGCCAACCUGAUCGCCCACAACUGCCCUUCCCUGUAGGCCUGGUUGCCCCCAACUGCCCUCCUCUGCUGGCCUGAUGGCCCCCAACUGCCCUUUCCUGCCGACCUGGUCGCCCCUAACUGCCCUCCCCUGCAGGCCUGGUCGCCCCCAACUGCCCUCCCUUGCCGGCCUGAUCGCCCACAACUGCCCUCCCCUGCCAGCCAUUUUGUGAUGACGUGAGGGCGUUGCAUGAGGGUGCAAGGACCACCUAGGUUUUUAUUAGUAUAGAUUGAUGUGGUGUUUGAAUUGUAUUUAUAGGUACUUUGGGCACUUGGGUAUAGGGUGACUGCUUAAGGCUUUGGGCCUUUCAACUUUAAGCAUUUCACCCCUAAAUUGUUAUAUGUUGGGUUCUGGGUAAAAUUUUGCAUGAGGAAAUGAGUUUUGAUGUCAAGAGUAAUUUAAAAAUUCUUGUUUUAUUUCUUGUACCUGAUUCUUAGUAAUCUAUAUGGCUGCCUUUAUUCACUCCCACUUCCCUCCCAAAAGAAACAAAACUAACUUUUUGAAAUUAAGGAUAUUUUAAUCCUGUUUAUCUUUAUUUUUCAAAUAUCUAUUGAAUGAAUGCAAAUAUACUAAUAGAAGUUAUUGAAUAGAAUUUAAUUUCUAUUUUAUUU